CGGCAGGACAGCAGCAUCCACGGAGCAGAAAUUGACAUCCUGUCAUAAUUCCUUUAAUCCUGAGUGUAUAAGUACCGUGUGCGUCCUUAAGAUAUCGAGGCUCUGAAACUCUUCUCUCAGGCUGAACUGGUUUCCUGGUUCCUGGAACACAGAAACAGCAGCAGAAAACUCAGCGUCCACGUGGUCGGUUUCGGCGUGGAGGAGAACGACCCGUCAGACCAGAGCGUCCCCUGCCCCUCAGACGGCGCCGACAACCCCCCGUCGUCCAUGUACGGCGAAGUCAGCGAGCUGAGCUUCCUGCCGGCCUGGACGCUGCAGCUGCAGGACGCCGCGCUCAUCACCGACAUCAGAGCCUUCACGGCGUCGCUGCCGCUCCACCCCUACCACGAGAUCCUGCACUAGGUCGGCGUCAGCGGAGCCCCGCCUCCGUCUGGGAUGAUGCUGUAACUGUGGCGACCGCUGGCAACAACAUCCACACUGUGUGAUUAGAGAAGAGGCAAGGUUUUGUUUUGUUUUGUUUUGUUUUUGUGAUGCUGUGUUCACAACCAGCGGGAAAAAACUGAAAAAGACAUGAAGAUGAGGCUUCGAUUCAGUGUUCUGCCCCUUUAACAAAAUACUUGUGCAUUUACGGUCGUAUUUACAAAAAAAGAGAAAAAAAAAUUCUUCUCUAAUUUCUCAUUUUCUUUAACCUAACAGCCAAGCACUUAAAGAAGAAAAAGUCAGCAAAAAAGAUUAAAAUAAGUAUAAUAAACAAAAGUAACAUUAAAUCAGAUUGUAAAAGCAUGAAAAGAGACAGGAUUGAAGCAGCGCUCUGACCUUAAGCCUAAAGCUGCAGGUUCCAGUUCAACUCCACAGGUAACAUCUGGAGAGGAUGCUGCAUAAAAACACAUCUGCUAAACUCCUAGUUUUAUACAGAAACUGAUUGUAAAGUUACAGAUUACAACUGAAGCUUUGGAUCAUCAUCAUCAAAUCCUUCUGAAAACCACCGUCACAACAGUUUGAUCAGACUUUAACACGUAAAACCAUAUGUUCUGCAUCUGUUGAAUCUUCUUUUUGUGUAUUAACAGUAAACUGAUUCCUGCAUUAAAAAAAAGUACAAACUACAGUUUUACUACACAAACACAUACCAGAUGAGGUUUCUCUAGUCAGGGAUUUUUUUCCCAGGUGCAGUGAAUGCAGCAUGCUGACUCAGGGCUCCAGUGUGUUCAAAUAGAAAACCUGCGGAAAUGCAGAAAAAUCAUCUGUUCCUUCAGUUCCUUCUGUGACACAUCCAUGUUCAUACUGUAAUAUUUUGUGAAAUAUGAAUGUAUAGACUAACGGCGUCCGUUGGCCAGUGAUGUGACCAGUGACUUUUAAUGACAAUAAAUAUAAACCUUUUAACUUU